UAGGAGAGGAAGGAGAGAGACGGGUGGAGAGGAAAGAGUCCAAACAAACAAAGUGGCAGCAGGUCCUUCUGAGGAAGAGUUGGACCAGGAAGUUACAAUUGGUGACGAACAUGGCUCCUUUGUAAAGAGCCAGCCUAUGAAGACAAUUGGAAAUGACAGGGGAAAAGAAGGUGGUAGAGAAAAGGACUUUUCUCUUGUUUGUAAAACCGAAGGCUUCCCUUCCCAGAUGACAUUCAAAGAUGCUUCCCUAGAAAAUCAAAAUGCUUUGAUGUUCUUCAGCGAAGGGGAAACGAAAACUGUCAACCUCUGCUCGAUUUUAAAACAAAGAGAAAAGUUAUCUCAAGAAACUGCUAGUAUUGUCCAGAAGGAACCAUUCUCUUCUGAGAUUCCAAGACCUGAAAGACUGAACUCCCAGGAAUCAGAUGGAGAAUCCCAUAUUUCUGACAUGCCCUGCAUUUCCAAAGGUCCCAUGGCUGCCCAAAUUACCACAAGACAGGAGACUACUGAUGAACAAGACCUGAGUAUUACAUCUAAGACUGCAGAGACCAAAGAUAGGAUUUUCCCAUCCAAAAAUUAUAAAGAAAA
rnacentral:lncRNA from 1 species